rnacentral:misc_RNA from 1 species
GAUGAAGAACGUAGCAAAAUGCGAUACUUGGUGUGAAUUGCAGAAUCCCGUGAACCAUCGAGUUUUUGAACGCAAGUUGCGCCCGAAGCCUUUUGGCCGAGGGCACGUCUGCCUGGGUGUCACGCAUCGCGUCGCCCCCCACAAUUCUCCGUAAAGGGAACGUGUGUUUUGGGGGCGGAUAUUGGUCUCCCGUGCUCAUGGCGUGGUUGGCCGAAAUAGGAGUCCUUUCGAUGGACGCACGAACUAGUGGUGGUCGUAAAAACCCUCGUCUUUUGUUUCGUGCUGUUGCUCGCAAGGUAAACUCUUUAAAAACCCCAAUGUGUCGUCUCUUGACGACGCUUCGACCGCGACCCCAGGUCAGGCGGGACUACCCGCUGAGUUUAAGCAUAUCAAUAAGCGGAGGA